rnacentral:rRNA from 1 species
AACGCAGCGAAGGGCGAUAAGUAAUGUGAAUUGCAGAUUUUCAGUGAAUCAUCGAAUCUUUGAACGCACCUUGCGCUCCCUGGUAUUCCGGGGAGCAUGCCUGUUUGAGUGUCAUUAAAUUCUCCAACCCCGAUCGGAUUUGUUUCCGCAUUCGGAGGCUUGGAUAGUGGAGCGUGCUGGCCCCCUCUCAUGGGUCGGCUCCUCUCAAAUGCAUUCGCGGAAUCGACUUUGGUCCGUUUCGGUCAUCAGUGUGAUAAAUGUUGCGCUGUUGGCUAGGAUCGAGGUGCCGCAUACAAUGGUCUUCGGACAAUUUCAUAAACAAAUUUGACCUCGGAUCAGGUAGGGAUACCCGCUGAACUUAU